CACGUAGGGGGCAAGCGUUGUCCGGAUUUAUUGGGCGUAAAGAGCUCGUAGGCUGUUCGAUAAGUCGGGUGUGAAACCUCCAGGCUCAACCUGGAGACGCCACCCGAUACUGUCAUGACUAGAGUCCGGUAGGGGAGCGUGGAAUUCCUGGUGUAGCGGUGAAAUGCGCAGAUAUCGUAAGGAAGACCAGUGGCGAAGGCGGGUCGUCUGGACAGUUCCUGACGCUGAGGCACGAAGGCCAGGGGAGCGA
rnacentral:rRNA from 1 species